CCUACGGGAGGCAGCAGUGGGGAAUUUUGGACAAUGGGCGAAAGCCUGAUCCAGCAAUGCCGCGUGAGUGAAGAAGGCCUUCGGGUUGUAAAGCUCUUUUGUCAGGGAAGAAACGGUGGGAGCUAAUAUCUCUUGCUAAUGACGGUACCUGAAGAAUAAGCACCGGCUAACUACGUGCCAGCAGCCGCGGUAAUACGUAGGGUGCAAGCGUUAAUCGGAAUUACUGGGCGUAAAGCGUGCGCAGGCGGUUUUGUAAGUCUGAUGUGAAAUCCCCGGGCUCAACCUGGGAAUUGCAUUGGAGACUGCAAGGCUAGAAUCUGGCAGAGGGGGGUAGAAUUCCACGUGUAGCAGUGAAAUGCGUAGAUAUGUGGAGGAACACCGAUGGCGAAGGCAGCCCCCUGGGUCAAGAUUGACGCUCAUGCACGAAAGCGUGGGGAGCAAACAGGAUUAGAUACCCUGGUAGUCCACGCCCUAAACGAUGUCUACUAGUUGUCGGGUCUUAAUUGACUUGGUAACGCAGCUAACGCGUGAAGUAGACCGCCUGGGGAGUACGGUCGCAAGNUUAAAACUUAAGUGAAUUGACGG
rnacentral:rRNA from 1 species